UAUAAACUGUGACAAAUAUUAUAUAUAAUAUAACAUAUAAACUUACACAAAUGCAAUGUUACCUAAUCCACUUGGAGAUUCUACAACUGUCUUGUUGCUAAGUUGCACUUUACUUUUUUUGCUUUUGUUGAAGAAACUCGACUCCUGUUGGUUAUAUUGCUUGCAAUGCUUUUAUACAUUCUAAAGUUGUUAGUUCUUUAUGGUUCCUUCUGAAAGUUCUGAUUUUUUAGGUUCCUUAUUUCUAAACUUACACUCUUAGGCAUUUUGAGAGAAAACAAGACCAAUCAGUAGCUUUGGGUCUAAGAAUGAGCCGCUAAACCUUUAGUCCUUUGGUUCCUCCAGGACGAAAUGUGUUUCUUUCGAUCCAGGAAAGGUUUUACACAGUACAUUGACCAGAACAAAGUCUAACUGACACAUUAUUCUUCAUAGCAGACUCCACAUCCCUCAACUUAGAGAUCGCCAUCCUUGUGUCCAGGAUAACUCUAGGUGUAUCAAAUCACUACAGUUGCUUGGAAUGUACAUGCCCCAACAUGAUCUGAGAUGAUCUGGCCUGUAAUGGGCAUACGGAAUAUGAAGUUAGAGUGACCCAAAAAUUCAUCUGGAAACCAUCCUUUGUGUACCUCAUUUACUUAGUCUUGAAGCAUGUGUUGCAACUUAUGUAUACCUCAGUUUUAAUUAUGUAUGUUGUUCUAGUACUUAAUUAUUUGCUCAGAAAGAUGAUACUCUAUUUCUACUAUUUCUAUAUGGUUUUGUAUAUGUAUGUAAUAUUCCACUAGAUAUUAAGGAAUUGACGAAUCUAUAUAAAACAUAAUAGUGUACCCUAUGUAUUCUCAGUUUUCUCUGGUGUAUCCCCACCACAUUCUCUUUGUUUAAGGGUACUCUAUUAUAUUGUACUGGCACUAUUAUAUCCAGGUUGUAUAAUGAAUAUUCUUUUAAAAAAUAGAUAUGCAUUAAUUUUGUUACUUGAAAGAUUGUGUUAUGAAAUUAUGCAUGUAUGGAUUAAGGAGGACGUGUAAUGCUUGUAAUAUAUGGGAUCUGAGUAGGAAUUAGAUUAUUAAAUACUUAUGAUGUUAUACCUGAUAUUGUCACAAUAACCACAAAGAGAGACAGAGAGAGGGAAGUGCCAUUAACUACAAGAAAUGAGUAAGGUUAAUAUCUGGGAAUACCAAAGCUCCUUGCUGACCUGGCACUGUGGCACCUCCAGUCAUACCUCAUGACCUAUUGAGGAUUUAAAAACCCAUUCAGAGAGAAUGGGUUUUGUGUUGUGGUUUUAUUCUGCAAUCUGGUUAAGAGGAGAGAGAAAGAUAAACCAAGAAUCUUCUAAGAAGUUGGAAACUAUAACCAGAGCGAGCAAGAUUACUCUGUAAGGAAGAGAGAAGACAGAAGAACAGACAAGAGAAGAAUGGUAUAAGGUUGGAGUGCGCUCAGUUGAUGAGUAUGGUAAAUUAUUGGGAAUGAUUGUAAUGAUUUAUGACGCAAAAUAUCAACAAGAAUUUUGUA
rnacentral:lncRNA from 1 species